rnacentral:rRNA from 1 species
GACGAACGCUGGCGGCGUGCCUAACACAUGCAAGUCGAGCGGCAAGACCCUGCUUGUUUGGUGUUCUCGGGUGGCGAACGGGUGAGGAACACGUGAGUAACCUGACCUUCAUUUUGGGAUGACUUCAGGAAACUGGGGCUAAUCCCGGAUAACAGCUCCUCCUGCGGGGUGGGGGUGGGAACUUUUCGGCUGUUGGGGAUGGACUCGCGGCUUACGAGCUUGUUGGUGGGGUAGUGGCCCACCCAGGCGAGCACGGGUAGCCGGCCUGAGAGGGUGAUCGGCGACACUGGAGCGGGAACACGGACCAUACUCCUACGAGAGGGAGCAGACGGGAACAGGAGACAGUGGGCGGAAGCCUUAUCCAGCCAGCCCGCGUGGGUGGAGAAGACGUUCGGGGUGUAAUGCCCUUUUGUGGGGAAAGAAAAGCUGUAGGUUAAGACCCCGCGUUUCUGACGGUACCGAAUGAAUAAGCACCGGCUAACUACGUG